rnacentral:lncRNA from 1 species
UUGGGCUCACAGCGCCUAGGAUCAGCAACAAGCAAAGUCCUAUCAUAGCGAACAAGAAUGUCCUUAAUCUCCUUCUUCGACUGCUCGUCCACGUACUUCUGGUAGAAGGCAACAAGUGCCUUAGCAAUGGACUGACGGAUAGCGUAGAUCUGAGAUGUGUGACCUCCACCCUUCACGCGGAUACGCAUGUCCACGCCGGCAAAUCGGUGGCGAGCAACAAGUGCCUUAGCUAUGGACUGACGGAUAGCAUAGAUCUGAGAUGUGUGACCUCCACCGUUCACGCGGAUACGCAUGUCCACUCCCGCGAAUCGGUGUCGGCCUAAAAGGAGAAUUGGUUCGAAGGCUUUGUAGCGGAGGAUUUCAGGUUGAACCAACUCGAUGGGGACACCGUUGAUUUUGAUGAGACCUCGCCCACGCUUGCAGUGGGUCACUGCCACUGCUGUCUUCUUACGCCCGAAACAUUGGACCGAUUCCAUAGGAGAUGCGACUGCGACUGCUGCUGCCAUGAUUCCUCUUCUUUGAUCCUUUUUGGAGAAACCCUAACCCUAGAGCUACAAUGGCAUUGAGACAGGGUCCGAAACAUUGUACCGAUUCCAUAGGAGAUGCGACUGCGGCUGCCAUAAUUCCUCUUCUUUGAUCCUUCCGGGAGACGGAGACGGAGAAAGUGAAUCAGGGAAUUUAAGGGGGUUAGGGUUUUUGAACAAGCUGUUAGGCUUUUAUUUGGGCCACAUCAGACUGUCCGGCAAUUUGGGCUGGAC